rnacentral:lncRNA from 1 species
UAGCGAGUGAAGACUGUAGAGAGAAGAGAUCUCGUAAUAAGGUAAGAAUUUAUAAACAGGGAAAUCUCACUUUAUGAGGUAAUGUCAAUGGUUAAAUUAAAGCUGACAUUGCAUUGUCUGCCUCCAUACACAAUUCUAUCUCUCACUUUCACCACUUUCAAUUUUUUUCACAUGAAAUUCUCUUUCUUCAAAUGGGAAUCUGUAUACGGCUCAUUAUAGGGUUCUAAUAUUUUCAAUCUCUCUUUACC